rfam:Canis lupus familiaris chromosome 4, whole genome shotgun sequence.
GGAUGUGAGGGCGAUCUGGCUGCGACAUCUGUCACCCCAUUGAUCGCCAGGGUUGAUUCGGCUGAUCUGGCUGGCUAGGCGGGUGUCUCCUUCCUCCCUCACCGCUCCAUGUGCAUCCCUCCCGAAGCUGCGCGCUCGGUCAAAGAGGACGACCAUCCCCGAUAGAGGAGGACCGUUCUUCGGUCAAGGGUAUACGAGUAGCUGCGCUCCCCUGCUAGAACCUCCAAACAAGCUCUCAAGAAUGCUAGUGGAUCAAUUAUUUUGUUUUUUGUUUUUUCAAGUUUUUUUUUAAUUUAAAUUUUAGGUAAUU